AGGUGGAGAUCAGUCGAAGAGUGACGCUAGAAGAACUCCCCCCUGUUCUUGUUUUACACCUCAAGCGGUUUGUAUAUGAGAAAACCGGUGGAUGCCAGAAGCUUAUCAAGAAUAUUGAGUAUCCUGUUGAUCUGGAAAUUAGUAAAGAGCUACUAUCUCCUGGUGUGAAAAGUAAAAUUUUUAAAGGCCAAAGAACCUACCGGCUCUUUGCAGUUGUCUAUCAUCAUGGAAACAGCGCAACUGGUGGCCAUUACACUACGGACGUCUUCCAAAUUGGUCUAAAUGGCUGGUUACGCAUCGAUGACCAGGCAGUCAAAGUGAUAAAUCAGUACCAGGUGGUGAAGCCGUCUGCAGAACGCACAGCCUACCUCCUGUACUACCGCCGAGUUGACCUGCUGUGAAACUUUGCCCUUUUACGCUGUGUGUGCAAGAUACCUGCUUUGUAGAACGCCAACUAUCACUAACUUUUUUUUCUCCUGUAAAUGCUCUUUUGAGUGAAUCUUUUUUUCUUUUUUUUUUCUUUUUUUUUUUUUUCCCUUGCAACUAUGGGAUAGAGUGAUAAAGGAAACUACCUUGGGUUUGUGCACAACAUAGUUUGUGUUGACUUUUGACUUUGCAGAAUGAAGUCACUUGGUUGAAAGACUCAGUCUCAUGAAUCACAAAAAUAAAAAAAAA